CUGAUAGAGGUGCGGUUUUCAUUAGUACGGUGUAAUAAAGAAGGACAACUGUUAUAGUGGAAAGGGGAAGUCGCCGAAGAUACAUUUCUUUGUCCAGAGGAAUGUUUCUGGGGCAUUGCAGAACAUGUAAUGCACUGUCACAUAAUUGUGGAGUGCUAUCGU
rnacentral:ncRNA from 1 species